rfam:Oryza rufipogon genomic scaffold, chr11
UUUAAAUGUAGCCAUGAGUUUCCGUGUCUAACUUUAAUCGUCUGUCUUAUUUGAAUUUUUUUAUGAUUAAUAUUUGUAUAGUUAUUAGAUAAAAAUAUGGAUAAUAUUUUUUUAAUUUUUUUCAAAAAAAAUUCAAGUAAGACGGACUAUUAAAGUUGAAUACGGAAACUCAUGGCUGCACCUAAA